rnacentral:miRNA from 1 species
CUAGUUUCCUCUAAAAUCCUAA